ACCAACCAGCCCAAGAAACAUCUCACCAAUUUCAAAUCCGAAAUCCUUCAUCUAAUCUGGCAAACACAUGUGGCAGGUUUUUCUCACCGCAUAAAAUAUGUUAUAGAGUAGUCCAUCUAUUUCUCUUCCAUGGAAGAGUUCAUCUGGUAGAUUGGACUACCACUUUUCCUUGUCCCGAGUUCUCAUCCCGCAUCCAGGAAGAAUGAGGUUAUGUGGACACCUGGAGGGUGAGCGAGGCUGAGAAAAGCUUUAUUGGGCAACCAGACAGCUCUCAGAAGAGAGGUGACCUGAAGCAGGUAACCCCUAUCUGCAAGUAGGUACUCCCAACUAGUGUCUAGUCUGGCUCUUAAAAGUAAUACCAAACCAUUACUUUUUAAUUGUUCUAUUUGUAAUAUUUACAUUCUAUUGAAUAACUAAGGGAAUUCAAAAUCCUUUGCUUAUAUGUUAAGUUUUUAAAAUGGAAAAUAAAUAAAGGUUGUUAUAAUAUUAUGAUUAUAUGAAUAUAUGACAGGAAUAAAUAUGAUAACUAGACCCACAGAAAAUGCAUGUAGUCCUAUGUCAUUUCAAAGAGAAUGAGGAUGUUGCAAGAGACAGAGCAUAUGUAUUCAGAUUCUUAUAUGUUAAUGCUUUUUCAAAAUCAAGUCAUAAUUAAGGACAAGCUACAAAGUGAGAAAAAAAUACUUGGAAAUCACUUAUCUGACAAAGGACUAAGUAUAGAAUAUAAAAACACCACUCGAAACUCAACAGGUAAUAAAACAACCAAUCCUGUUUUAAAAAUUGGAACAUAAACCAUCACUUCACCAAAGAGCAUAUACAGAUGGAAACAAGCAUAUGAAAAGAUGAUCAACAUCAUUAGCCAUUAAAAAAAUACAAAUUAAAUCCACAGUGAGAUAAUGUAUAUUAGAAUGACUGGAAAAGAAAACCAAGCAGAUGUCACAAAACCAAGCAGACGUCACAAACCAAGCAGAUGUCACAAUAUAAAUAUGCACUUAAUAUAUGAUCAAGCAAUCCCACUCAGGUAUUUAUUCUAGAGAAAUAAAAACAUGUUCAUAUAAAAGCUCAUGUACAAUAUUUAUAACAGCUCUUUUUAUAAUUGCCAAAACAUAGAGAUAAACUGAAUUUCUUCAAUGAGUGGAUAGAUAUAUUAUGACACAUUCAUAUAAUAAUGUUCAACAAUAAAAAGUAAUAAACUAUUGAUACACACAAGGAUUAAUAUUUAAGGCAUUAAGCUGUGCUAAAGAAGUUUGUUUUAAAAGGUUACAUACUGUAUGACUGAUUAUAUUUAUAUGAUGCCUUACAAAAGGCAAAACUGUAGUGAGGAUGAAAUAAUGAGUGAGGCUGGGUGAAGUGGUUCACUCUUGUUAUCCUAGCGCUUUGGGAGGCCGAGGCGGGCAGAUCAUCUGAGGU